rnacentral:tRNA from 4 species
GGAGGAAUUCCCGAGCGGCCAAAGGGGGCAGACUGUAAAUCUGUUGUCAUCGACUUCGAUGGUUCGAAUCCAUCUUCCUCCACCA